UACGGAGGGUGCAAGCGUUAUCCGGAUUCACUGGGUUUAAAGGGUGCGUAGGCGGGCAGAUAAGUCAGUGGUGAAAUACCUGAGCUUAACUUGGGAACUGCCAUUGAUACUAUUUGUCUUGAAUGUCGUGGAGGUUAGCGGAAUAUGUCAUGUAGCGGUGAAAUGCUUAGAGAUGACAUAGAACACCUAUUGCGAAGGCAGCUAACUACGCGAAUAUUGACGCUGAGGCACGAAAGCGUGGGGAGCGAACAGG
rnacentral:rRNA from 1 species